rnacentral:rRNA from 1 species
GUGGGAAAUAUUGGACAAUGGGCGAAAGCCUGAUCCAGCCAUGCCGCGUGUGUGAAGAAGGUCUUCGGAUUGUAAAGCACUUUAAGUUGGGAGGAAGGGCAGUAAGUUAAUACCUUGCUGUUUUGACGUUACCGACAGAAUAAGCACCGGCUAACUUCGUGCCAGCAGCCGCGGUAAUACGAAGGGUGCAAGCGUUAAUCGGAAUUACUGGGCGUAAAGCGCGCGUAGGUGGUUUUGUAAGUUGGAGGUGAAAUCCCCGGGCUCAACCUGGGAACUGCCUCCAAAACUGCAUGACUAGAGUACGGUAGAGGGUAGUGGAAUUUCCUGUGUAGCGGUGAAAUGCGUAGAUAUAGGAAGGAACACCAGUGGCGAAGGCGACUACCUGGACUGAUACUGACACUGAGGUGCGAAAGCGUGGGGAGCAAACAGGAUUAGAUACCCGUGUAGUCC